ACGAGAAAGGGGAGCAAUCCCUGAGUACAGUGGCGUAUGGGUGAGUAACACGUGGGUAAUCUGCCCUUUGGUGGGGAAUAACCCUGGGAAACCGGGGAUAAUACCGCAUAAGUCCGAGAGGAGAAAGCAGCAAUGCGCCGAAGGAGGAGCCCGCGGCCGAUUAGCUAGUUGGUAGGGUAAAGGCCUACCAAGGCAAAGAUCGGUAGCCGGCCUGAGAGGGCACACGGCCACACUGGCACUGAAACACGGGCCAGACUCCUACGGGAGGCAGCAGUGGGGAAUCUUGCACAAUGGGGGAAACCCUGAUGCAGCGACGCCGCGUGAGCGAUGAAGCCCUUCGGGGUGUAAAGCUCUUUCGGCAGGGAAGAUGAUGACGGUACCUGCAGAAGCAGCUGCGGCUAACUACGUGCCAGCAGCCGCGGUAAUACGUAGGCAGCAAGCGUUGUUCGGAGUUACUGGGCGUAAAGGGUGUGUAGGCGGUUUGGUAAGUCUGGUGUGAAAUCUCCCGGCUCAACUGGGAGGGUGCGCCGGAAACUGCCGGACUCGAGUGCGGGAGAGGAGAGUGGAAUUCCUGGUGUAGCGGUGAAAUGCGUAGAUAUCAGGAGGAACACCGGUGGUGUAGGCGGCUCUCUGGACCGUAACUGACGCUGAAACACGAAAGCGUGGGUAGCAAACAGGAUUAGAUACCCUGGUAGUCCACGCC
rnacentral:rRNA from 1 species